rnacentral:rasiRNA from 1 species
AAAUCUUGUAGACGCGCCCCCGU